GCCAUGUCGGUCGCCAACGCGAUUCUCUUGUGGAUGCGGUAGUAUGAAUUGUAAGUGUCGCCGUCGAUCCAUGACGUCCAAAAGCAUAGACUCGACGUCAACAAUGUCGGUGUUUCCUCAAAGAUCCGACACCAACCUGGCUCUCGCGAUAGACGCGCAGAAAAAAGGCACCGGCGCAGGACAAACUUGUGCGCAACGAAAAAAAAAAGGGUAGGAUGCCUCAAAAGAGCCGGAAUAGACACUGCUGGCUGACUGACCGAUGAAGAAAAAAGGGACUGUGUAUCUUGGCAGCCGACCGCGAGGGCAAGAAAGAUGCCCGCCAUGAUGGCGGCGUCCGACGGCGCACGGCG
rnacentral:lncRNA from 1 species